GACGAACGCUGGCGGCGUGCUUAACACAUGCAAGUCGUACGGUAAGGCCCUUUCGGGGGUACACGAGUGGCGAACGGGUGAGUAACACGUGAGUAACCUGCCCACAACUUUGGGAUAACGCUAGGAAACUGGUGCUAAUACUGGAUAUGUGCUCCUGCUGCAUGGUGGGGGUUGGAAAGCUCCGGCGGUUGUGGAUGGACUCGCGGCCUAUCAGCUUGUUGGUGGGGUAGUGGCCUACCAAGGCGGCGACGGGUAGCCGGCCUGAGAGGGUGACCGGCCACAGUGGGACUGAGAUACGCCCCAGACGCCUGCGGGACGCAGCAGUGGGGAGUAUGGCACGAUGGGCGCAAGCCUGAUGCAGCAACGCCGCGUGCGGGAUGAUGGCCUUCGGGUUGUAAGCCGCUUUCACCAGGGACGAAGCUUUUUGAGACGGCACCUGCAGAAGAGGCAGAGGAUAACUACGUG
rnacentral:rRNA from 1 species